rnacentral:rRNA from 1 species
UACGUAGGGGGCUAGCGUUGCUCGGAAUCACUGGGCGUAAAGCGCACGUAGGCGGAUCGUUAAGUCGGGGGUGAAAUCCUGGAGCUCAACUCCAGAACUGCCUCCGAUACUGGCGAUCUUGGAGUCCGGGAGAGGUGAGUGGAACUCCGAGUGUAGAGGUGAAAUUCGUAGAUAUUCGGAAGAACACCAGUGGCGAAGGCGGCUCACUGGCCCGGUACUGACGCUGAGACGCGAAAGCGUGGGGAGCAAACAGG